AUUCUCUGUAAUAAAACUAAAUAUAAAAUGGGACUUAAAGUAUCACAUCUGUUCAAGAUGUGAAUCAUUAAACUAAUUGUAUUUAAAUAAGUAAUAGACUUGACUUUUUUAAUAUUGAAGUCCUUUCAUAACAAUAAACCAUUUAAUUUAAUUUUUUGUAUCAGGUAAAUAAAGAACUUACAAGACAAUUUACAAUUAGAACUGUCAAUCAGAUUGUCAGUUUUAAUCUCCUCCCGAAGAUGCAAACAUUGUUAGUGAAACAGGUAUUGAGAGUAAAAUAAAGAGUUUUGGUUAGUGGUAAAACUGUCUCGUAAUUUGAGCGUCACACCACAGUUUCCAGCCAGAGGACCAAAUAAAAAAAUAGAAGUUGAUACUGCUGUAAAAGUGAAUGAAGAUGAGUAGUGAAAAGAAAUACCUAUAUUUCAAAAGGAUACAAAUGUUACUAUUCCUAACCAGAACUGAGUUUUUUAAUUAAUUUUGUUUAUUAGGAUUAUUGUCAUGGGGAAAAGAAUUAGUGUUAAAUCAAUUCAUGCUUAUAGGUAAAGGUGAUUCAAGGAAUAUGAUUGCUGUAAUAUGUUACUGAAGAUAAUGACUGUCAAAUUGUAGCAGAAAGUAGAAUCCUGCAUCAGUAUAAUACUAUUGCUAAAUGCAACUCCAAUGUAUUUUCCAUUAAAAAUGUUCCACAAGAAUAAUGUAGUAUGUGGAUGGCCACUAACAAACAUUAAUUUGGAGAGCAAGGAUUUGUCAGAUGUGACUGUUUAAAAAAAUGUGAAGUGCAAACGGAAAUAGCUAAAUGUAACUCUAAGUAUCCUUGAAUUGUAGAAGUAAAUAAUGUUGAUAAUAAAAAGUUUUAAGGCAUUUAUUUAAUAAAACUAGUUUUGAAGAGUUGGCUUCAACCAAUGCUGAUUGUGACCAAUUGAUGUUUGUAUUGUGGCAAUUGAGCAAACAACUGAUUUGUAUGGUAAACUGCUUUGUUGUAACUUUUAUUAAUAGGUCAGAACAUCCAAAAAAAUUUAAAAGAGCAAAAACAAUAUUAGAACAAAUUAUAUGUGGAAAUUUUCUUUCAGAAACUAAUUUUUUACAUUCCAACCAAUCUAAAUGAAUAAGAAAGAACUCUAUAAUCAGAACAAAAACACUUCUGGAUCAUUGAGAAAUGUUGGAAGAAUACCAGGUGCACUUUUGCCAGUAUAAGUCAAUCAUACUGGACACUGAAAACAUGUCCUAAUGCAACAUUUGAAUAAAAGUAAAAUAAAAUAUUAUCAUUAGGAAGCAAGCUCUGAUCAGGAUGUUUUGCUGUGCAAGUGGUAAGGGAGGAAUUGGGUCAACAACUAGCCCAGACAGUUUGCUUCUCAUUAUUUGAGUCUCACCUUGGGUCUGGUAUACCCUUCUGCGGUGUUACUAAUCAGGGCUUACUAAACUUAGUUUUUGUUCUUCAAAAAAAAGCAGUUCAUGACUCAAAGAAUUUUAACUCUUACAUCCCUUUUCAUACUGGAGACAUGUUCCCUUAUCUUUAAAAACCAUGAUGAAUCAUUAAGUAUAUGAUUUAGAUAUGUUUUGUAUAGUAAAUUUUAAUCUAUUUUAUGAUGUAUUUAUGUAUGUGGUCUUAAUAUUUAUGUAUGUACUACUUAGGUUUUUAUUAUAUUAUGCUUUGUCAACAAAAUUUAUUUUUUAUGACAAUAAAGCACUUUUUGAAUUUGAAUAAACAGAUCUACGAUGCACCUAAAACUCAAUAUGAAAGAAAUUAUGCAUUCCAGGAAUCUGGAAAAAACCAAUCAAUACACAAAUUUCUGAAACAGCCAAGAUCACAUUACAACUCUCAAAUAAACACAUCUAAAAACAUGUAUGCUAUGUCUAUAAUAGGGUGAAUGAGGCAUCAGGAAUUCACUAAAGAAAGUUUUUGGUGUCUAGAAUUUUUUGAUUAAGGCUUCUAAUGAUUUUAUCUGAAAUAUUUGGCAUUUUCUAAUGAUUGGCCUAUAUCACAAGUGAGCAGUAAUUAGUUGAUGUUUAGGACAGUUACAUCAUUCGAAAAUCAAAUGAAUACUUCAUCAAUACUUAAAACUUAGAGAGUAUGGUUUAAUUAACAGAUCAAAAAAGAUACACUUUAAGAGAUAUUGAGAACAGCAAGUGAUGCAUUUAUAAUGAAUCAUAAGAGGAAAUUUCUUAUAGUCCCCCCAAAGAGCCCGAUUGUGGAGGAUAAUUGCAUAUGCUUACCUAAUUUUACAUCAUCCUCGCUAAUAUCCAUAACGGUUGGUGGGAAACCAUAAAGUACUUGAAGGUAAUCAGCAGAAAUGUUAGAUACUGUACUUAAAGUAUGUUUUAGAUCUUUUAUUGUAUUUUCAGUAGUAAGGCUGUUUACUAUUUUUUGGCCAUUUUUUGUUUUUACUUUGAGAGUCAACGUUUUAACCAUUUUUUUAAAAUGUAAAUAGAUGCCAAGAAUUUGAAAAAAAAAAUGAAAAAUAUAUUUUUUAUAUCUUU